rnacentral:rRNA from 1 species
GACGAACGCUGGCGGCGUGCUUAACACAUGCAAGUCGAACGGAAAGGCCCUGCUUUUGUGGGGUGCUCGAGUGGCGAACGGGUGAGUAACACGUGAGUAACCUGCCCUUGACUUUGGGAUAACUUCAGGAAACUGGGGCUAAUACCGGAUAAGAGCUCCUGCUGCAUGGUGGGGGUUGGAAAGUUUCGGCGGUUGGGGAUGGACUCGCGGCUUAUCAGCUUGUUGGUGGGGUAGUGGCUUACCAAGGCUUUGACGGGUAGCCGGCCUGAGAGGGUGACCGGCCACAUUGGGACUGAGAUACGGCCCAGACUCCUACGGGAGGCAGCAGUGGGGAAUAUUGAACAAUGGGCGGAAGCCUGAUGCAGCAACGCCGCGUGCGGGAUGACGGCCUUCGGGUUGUAAACCGCUUUCGCCUGUGACGAAGCGUGAGUGACGGUAAUGGGUAAAGAAGCACCGGCUAACUACGUG